rnacentral:rRNA from 1 species
CUACGAGUUUGAUCCUGGCUCAGAUUGAACGCUGGCGGCAUGCUUUACACAUGCAAGUCGAACGGUAACAGGUCUUCGGAUGCUGACGAGUGGCGAACGGGUGAGUAAUGUAUCGGAACGUGCCCAGUAGUGGGGGAUAACUACUCGAAAGAGUGGCUAAUACCGCAUGAGAACUGAGGUUGAAAGCGGGGGACCUUCGGGCCUCGCGCUACUGGAGCGGCCGAUAUCAGAUUAGGUAGUUGGUGGGGUAAAGGCCUACCAAGCCGACGAUCUGUAGCUGGUCUGAGAGGACGACCAGCCACACUGGGACUGAGACACGGCCCAGACUCCUACGGGAGGCAGCAGUGGGGAAUUUUGGACAAUGGACGCAAGUCUGAUCCAGCAAUGCCGCGUGCAGGACGAAGGCCUUCGGGUUGUAAACUGCUUUUGUACAGAACGAAAGGGCUCUGGUUAAUACCUGGGGCAGAUGACGGUACUGUAAGAAUAAGCACCGGCUAACUACGUG